rnacentral:rRNA from 1 species
CCCUUAGAUGUCCUGGGCCGCACGCGCGUUACACUGAUGCAUUCAACGAGCUUAUAACCUUGGCCGAGAGGCCUGGGCAAUCUUGUUAACGUGCAUCGUGAUAGGGAUAGAUUAUUGAAAUUAUUAAUCUUGAACGAGGAAUUCCUAGUAAACGCAGAUCAUCAAUCUGCAUUGAUUACGUCCCUGCCCUUUGUACACACCGCCCGUCGCACCUACCGAUUGGAUGGUCCGGUGAAGCCUCGGGAUUGUGGUUCUUGCCGCUUUAUUGUGGCGUGACCGCGAGAACUUGUCUAAACCUUAUCAUCUAGAGGAAGGUGAAGUUGUAACA